UUCUCCAGCAUUUAAAGAUGCUUUGUGGUGGCAAACAAUACUAGCACCAUUAGGUAUGCAAACAGGAUACACAAGAUCAAUCCAGAGAUUUCAAAUAAGAACGAUUCAACCUGUUGUGGUCUUUCUGAGUUCUUUGCAACAGAAAAGCUGCUCUUAUUUUUCAGCAAUCAAAAAGCAAGUGCAAACGAGGAGCUGGCAUUUUGCAAGGGAUGCCUCGGGUCUAAAAAGGUUGAGAACUACUGUUUUAGCCUACAAAUGAUGCUUCAUCUUUUUUGCGGAUGGGAUUAUUUAAAUCCUAUUACUGUGUUUUACUCUCGUUUU